CAGCCCUAAACGAUGCGCGUUAGGUGUAUCGGUGACACGAGUCACCGAGGUGCCGAAGGGAAACCGUGAAACGUGCCGCCUGGGAAGUACGGUCGCAAGGCUGAAACUUAAAGGAAUUGGCGGGGGGAGCACCACAACGGGUGGAGCCUGCGGUUUAAUUGGACUCAGCGCCGGGAAGCUCACCGGAUAAGACAGCGGAAUGAUUGCCGGGCUGAAGACCCUGCAUGACCAGCUGAGAGGAGGUNCAUGGCGUAG
rnacentral:rRNA from 1 species